UACCUAGUUGCAUGCUUCAUUGCACUUCUAUCUCUGGCAUUUGGAAUUUAUGGAACGAUAAUGAAUACAAUCUUCAUAAUUCGAUUGCUGAUGUUCGUGUUGAUUACAUUCUGCUUAUUCAAGAUAGUCAUGUGGAUAGUGUAUAAGAAUCUGUCGCCAAUGUCAGCAGAGGACGUCACCCACUUUA
rnacentral:sRNA from 1 species